rnacentral:rRNA from 1 species
CGUUCCCGGGCCUUGUACACACCGCCCGUCACACCACGAAAGUCGGCAAUACCCGAAGCCGGUGGCCUAACCCGCAAGGGAGGGAGCCGCCGAAGGUAGGGUCGAUGAUUGGGGUG